rnacentral:rRNA from 1 species
GACGAACGCUGGCGGCGUGCUUAACACAUGCAAGUCGAGCGGUAAGGCCCUUUCGGGGGUACGACGAGCGGCGAACGGGUGAGUAACACGUGGGUGACCUGCCCUCAGCUCUGGGAUAAGCCUGGGAAACCGGGUCUAAUACUGGAUAUGACUCCAUGACGCAUGUUGUGGGGUGGAAAGCCUUGUGCGGCUGAGGAUGGGCCCGCGGCCUAUCAGCUUGUUGGUGGGGUGANGGCCUACCAAGGCGACGACGGGUAGCCGGCCUGAGAGGCGACCGGCCACACUGGGACUGAGACACGGCCCAGACUCCUACGGGAGGCAGCAGUGGGGAAUCUUGCGCAAUGGGCGAAAGACCUGACGCAGCGACGCCGCGUGAGGGAUGACGGCCU